rnacentral:lncRNA from 1 species
ACUUUAGGUCCAUUAUUUAGGUCCAAGUUCAACCACUAGACCUGUACUUCGCAAGCCUUCAGAGGAUUCCUGCUUUCAGCCCGCAAGCUUUUUCAGCUGAAGCCCCCAGUAUCAUGGAACAGAAUCAGAUUAUUUCCACUGAGUCCUUUUCAAUUUCUUAACCCACAGGAUUUAUGAGCAUUAUGAAGUCAUUAUGGCUUUCUGCCACUAGGCUGAGAGUGGACCACAUAUACAGAAAUAAAAAACUAUUAAUAGAAAAAUAUAUUGCAAACAUCUAAUCCUCAAACCCCAUUCAAGUUUUGCCAACUACCCUCCAUCCUAUCAAAUAUUCCUUAUACCAAAAAGAUCCAGUUCAAAAAUAAGUGUUGCAUUUAUUUUUUAACCUCUUUUGAUCUGGAAUAGCUCCUCACACCGUCUUUCAUGACUUUAGUGCUUUGGAAGACUACAGAUGUUUAGGCUCAUCUGAAAUUUCCCUGCCGUCACCUGGGAAUCAACCAUUUCUUCAGGGAGUCCUAGUUUCUUUUAGCGUAUAGCCACCAAUUUCUACUGAGUAUUUAUCUACUAUAUGGCAGGUCAAGUCUGCAUUCUGGGAUAAAGUGUUGACACAAUCUUGAAUCAGUGCCUAAGGAGUUCACAAGUCCAGAGAGGGGAUAGCGCAUAGAGAAGAUAAAGCAGAUGUCCAUCCAAAGACUUGUAUGUGAAUGUUCAUAGCAACUUUAUUUGUAAUAGCCAAAACCUGAAAGCAACCCAAAUGUAUGUUAAGAAGCGAAUGGAUACAUAAAUUGUGGCAUAUGCAUACAAUGGGAUACCCAGCAAUAAAAAGGAAUGAACUAUUCAAGUAGGCAACAAAAGAUAAGAGAGCUGAAGAAGAGUGAAAAUAAAGAAACUUCUGCAAAGCCACACAUGUAAAAUAUAUUUCUGGCAACAGUGGAGAAGAAUGAUAGGAAGAGAAUCAUACUGGAAUAGUAUAGUCCUUUGGAAUGUUGUUGUAAUGAAGGCAAGAAGAAAAAUGAUCUUGAAGGCAAGAAGAAAAAUCAUAUUGAAGGAAAGGAGAGAUGAGUUUACCAAAUAUAAUCUCAGAAUUGUUCUGUAAAUUUCAUUUCUGCUUUAGCAGCCAUAAAGAGCUCCAUUUAUUACAGUAGGAACAGAGGCAACAGCAACAUGGGUGGCUGGCAGUGAUAGAAAGGAUUUUAGUUUUGAUACAUGGAAUUUGACAUGCUUUUUGAAAAUCUUCAGAUGGUGAUGUACAAACUACUGCAGGAACAUAUGAGGAAAGAUGAGAGAAUCCACAGACUCUUUGAAGGAAGCAGAUUGCUCCUGCAGGGCCUGGGAGACAACCAAACACUGGGUCCUUAGGGAGAGGUGCCAGAGGAAUUGGAAAAAGGCCACAGGCAGAAGGAAGGCUCCAGCUAAACUUGAUUGACCCAUCAUUUGGAUGACCCGAAACCACAGAUGCAAUAGAAGAAUGGAACAAAUUUGUACAUUUUGUCAAUAAAAACUUUAUCUUCAGCCC